UACGUAGGGUGCGAGCGUUUAAUCGGAAUUACUGGGCGUAAAGCGUGCGCAGGCGGUGAUGUAAGACCGAUGUGAAAGCCCCGGGCUUAACCUGGGAAUGGCAUUUGGGACUGCAAGGCUUGAGUGCGGCAGAGGAGACUGGAAUUCCUGGUGUAGCAGUGAAAUGCGUAGAUAUCAGGAGGAAUACCGAUGGCGAAGGCAGGUCUCUGGGCUGACACUGACGCUCAUGCACGAAAGCGUGGGGAGCAAACAGG
rnacentral:rRNA from 1 species